rnacentral:rRNA from 1 species
CCUACGGGAGGCAGCAGUGAGGAAUAUUGGUCAAUGGGCGGAAGCCUGAACCAGCCAAGUAGCGUGCGGGAUGAAGGCCCUACGGGUCGUAAACCGCUUUUGCACGGGGAUAACACCCUCCACUUGUGGAGGUCUGCAGGUACCGUGCGAAUAAGGGCCGGCUAAUUCCGUGCCAGCAGCCGCGGUAAUACGGAAGGCCCGAGCGUUAUCCGGAUUCAUUGGGCUUAAAGGGAGCGUAGGCGGGCGUUCAAGUCAGCUGUAAAAUCGCGCGGCUCAACCGCGCCCCGCAGUUGAAACUGGACGCCUUGAGUUCACAACAGGCAGGCGGAAUUCGUGGUGUAGCGGUGAAAUGCAUAGAUAUCACGAGGAACUCCGAUUGCGAAGGCAGCAUACCGGCGCUCAACUGACGCUCAUGCACGAAAGUGUGGGUAUCGAACAGGAUUAGAUACCCGAGUAGUC